UAUUUAGGUAUGAGCGUCGGAUGAACACUCCAGGGGGUAGAGCACUGAAUGGGCUAUGGGGUCUCACCGACUUACCAAACCUAAUCAAACUCCGAAUACCUGGAAGUGCUAUCCGGCAGACACACGGCGGGUGCUAACGUCCGUCGUGGAGAGGGAAACAACCCUGACCACCAUCUAAGGUCCCCAAGUUAUGGCUAAGUGGGAAAGGAUGUGAAGAUUCCAAAACAACCAGGAUGUUGGCUUAGAAGCAGCCAUCAUUUAAAGAAAGCGUAACAGCUCACUGGUCUAAUUAAGAGUCUUUGCGCCGAAAAUGUACCGGGGCUCAAGCCAUACACCGAAGCUGUGGGCUCGUCUUUGACGAGCGGUAGCGGAGCGUUCCGUAGGCCUGUGAAGGCGGACCCGUGAGGGCUGCUGGAGGUAUCGGAAGUGCGAAUGCUGACAUGAGUAACGAUAAAGGGAGUGAGAGACUCCCUCGCCGAAAGUCCAAGGGUUCCUGCUUAAAGUUAAUCUGAGCAGGGUUAGCCGGCCCCUAAGGCGAGGCCGAAAGGCGUAGUCGAUGGGAACCACGUUAAUAAUCGUGGGCCUGGUGGAGAGUGACGGAUCUCGUGUAUCGUACGGUCUUAUUGGAUUGAUCGUGCGGUGAAGAGGUUCCAGGAAAUAGCCCCACCGUAUAGACCGUACCCGAAACCGACACAGGUGGACUGGUAGAGUAUACCAAGGCGCUUGAGAGAACUAUGUUGAAGGAACUCGGCAAAUUGCACGCGUAACUUCGGAAGAAGCGUGACCCCCAUUUACGCAAGUAGGUGGGGGUGGCACAGACCAGGGGGUAGCGACUGUUUAUCAAAAACACAGGGCUCUGCGAAGUCGCAAGACGACGUAUAGGGUCUGACGCCUGCCCGGUGCUGGAAGGUUAAGAGGAGGGGUGCAAGCUCUGAAUCGAAGCCCCAGUAAACGGGGGGCGUAACUAUAACGGUCCUAAGGUAGCGAAAUUCCUUGUCGGGUAAGUUCCGACCUGCACGAAUGGCGUAACGACUUCCCCGCUGUCUCCAACAUAGACUCAGUGAAAUUGAAUUCCCCGUGAAGAUGCGGGGUUCCUGCGGUCAGACGGAAAGACCCCGUGCACCUUUACUAUAGCUUUACACUGGCAUUCGUGUCGGCAUGUGUAGGAUAGGUGGUAGGCUUUGAAGCGUGGGCGCCAGCUCGCGUGGAGCCAUCCUUGAAAUACCACCCUUAUCGUCAUGGAUGUCUAACCGCGGUCCGUCAUCCGGAUCCGGGACAGUGUAUGGUGGGUAGUUUGACUGGGGCGGUCGCCUCCUAAAGAGUAACGGAGGCGCGCGAUGGUGGGCUCAGACCGGUCGGAAAUCGGUCGUCGAGUGCAAUGGCAUAAGCCCGCCUGACUGCGAGACAGACAAGUCGAGCAGAGACGAAAGUCGGUCAUAGUGAUCCGGUGGUCCCGCGUGGAAGGGCCAUCGCUCAACGGAUAAAAGGUACGCCGGGGAUAACAGGCUGAUGACCCCCAAGAGUCCAUAUCGACGGGGUUGUUUGGCACCUCGAUGUCGGCUCAUCGCAUCCUGGGGCUGGAGCAGGUCCCAAGGGUUUGGCUGUUCGCCAAUUAAAGCGGUACGUGAGCUGGGUUCAGAACGUCGUGAGACAGUUCGGUCCCUAUCUGCCGUGGGUGCAGGAGAAUUGACAGGAUCUGACCCUAGUACGAGAGGACCGGGUUGGACGUACCUCUGGUGGACCUGUUGUGGCGCCAGCCGCAGUGCAGGGUAGCUAUGUACGGUCGGGAUAACCGCUGAAGGCAUCUAAG
rnacentral:rRNA from 1 species